rnacentral:rRNA from 1 species
UUCCAGACUCCUACGGGAGGCAGCAGUGGGGAAUAUUGCACAAUGGGGGAAACCCUGAUGCAGCGACGCCGCGUGAGCGAUGAAGUAUUUCGGUAUGUAAAGCUCUAUCAGCAGGGAAGAAAAUGACGGUACCUGACUAAGAAGCCCCGGCUAACUACGUGCCAGCAGCCGCGGUAAUACGUAGGGGGCAAGCGUUAUCCGGAUUUACUGGGUGUAAAGGGAGCGUAGACGGCUGGGCAAGCCAGAUGUGAAAGCCCGGGGCUCAACCCCGGGACUGCAUUUGGAACUGUGUGGCUGGAGUGUCGGAGAGGCAGGCGGAAUUCCUAGUGUAGUGGUGAAAUGCGUAGAUAUUAGGAGGAACACCAGUGGCGAAGGCGGCCUGCUGGACGAUGACUGACGUUGAGGCUCGAAAGCGUGGGGAGCAAACAGGAUUAGAUACCCGAGUAA